UGCACAUUAUGGCAAAAUAGAGUAACUAACUUAUCCGCACAACUGGCAAGGAUUUGCACGACAAUUCCGUAUACUACAUUCCUUGCCGACAAAAAUAAUAUUGUUGAUCUGACGUAGAAAAUUUCCCGGCCUCUUUCAAGAUAGUUAAUUCGUCAGCUUGAAACUGGGAAAAACUUGUGCAAGUGAUUAUAGUCUUAAUCGCCCGGGUGCAGUGGCAAGAGGGCCCAGGACAUUUCGCCGAAUGCCCACAACGCCGACACGAUAUUUUGAUGGUACAUAUCGCCGACUAGGGACACUACGCCGAUAGACACAAGGCCGACCGUGCCCAGAAGUGGUCUCAGCAAUGGAGUGGACGCCAAAACCGUACCUGGUUUUAAACGGCGUGAUGGUAAUCAACUUUCCGAAAACGAAACUUAUUGAGAUUGAUCUGCACCAAGUCCUGUUGAUCCCCAGGCCCUAUAUUUUCCGCAAUUAUGAAAGUUUCAGUUGCUCCUCCAUCAGCAUAGGAAUCUUGGAAUUUCACGCUGUUACCUUCCACUCUGAGGUUAUACUCACGCAGAUCAAUCUUUGCUUAAUACCUUCCCACUAAAUGUACAUCGUUUAUAUAGUCCACAUUUGAAUCAGGCCAAUAAAUCGCGCCAUCGUGUUA